rnacentral:rRNA from 1 species
CCCAGACAGCCAGGAUGUUGGCUUAGAAGCAGCCAUCAUUUAAAGAAAGCGUAAUAGCUCACUGGUCGAGUCGGCCUGCGCGGAAGAUGUAACGGGGCUAAACCAUGCACCGAAGCUGCGGCAGCGAACGUAUCACUUAAAGCGAUUCAGCGGGUUACGAUUGACGGAGCGAAGCGACGUCAAAGCGUAUACAAAGUCGAGUCGGUUUAAGGAUACGUUCGUUGGGUAGGGGAGCGUUCUGUAAGCCUGUGAAGGUGGCCUGUGAGGGUUGCUGGAGGUAUCAGAAGUGCGAAUGCUGACAUAAGUAACGAUAAAGCGGGUGAAAAGCCCGCUCGCCGGAAGACCAAGGGUUCCUGUCCAACGUUAAUCGGGGCAGGGUGAGUCGACCCCUAAGGCGAGGCCGAAAGGCGUAGUCGAUGGGAAACGGGUUAAUAUUCCCGUACUUGGUGUUACUGCGAAGGGGGGACGGAGAAGGCUAUGUUGGCCGGGCGACGGUUGUCCCGGUUUAAGCGUGUAGGUGUGUGUUCCAGGUAAAUCCGGUUCACUUUAACACUGAGGCGUGAUGACGAGGCACUACGGUGCUGAAGCAACAAAUGCCCUGCUUCCAGGAAAAGCCUCUAAGCAUCAGGUAACAUCAAAUCGUACCCCAAACCGACACAGGUGGUCAGGUAGAGAAUACCAAGGCGCUUGAGAGAACUCGGGUGAAGGAACUAGGCAAAAUGGUGCCGUAACUUCGGGAGAAGGCACGCUGACACGUAGGUGAAGUGAUUUACUCACGGAGCUGAAGUCAGUCGAAGAUACCAGCUGGCUGCAACUGUUUAUUAAAAACACAGCACUGUGCAAACACGAAAGUGGACGUAUACGGUGUGACGCCUGCCCGGUGCCGGAAGGUUAAUUGAUGGGG